rfam:Prevotella sp. CAG:592 genomic scaffold, scf426
GGGGUUGACUGGAUUUGACAGCGGGUAGGAAUGGUACGUAAGCAUGCGGAGCGCAGUCUGCCGGCUCCUUAAUCUCGACAGUCAACAAUUUAUCUGGCGAAAACAACUACGCUCUCGCUGCCUAAUCGAAGUACAGUAGAUUACUGGCUUUAUCCCGCUACCAGGUAGCAGGACGAGACAUCGCUCAAAGGCCGUUGUUCCGAGGCUCUUUGGUAAAGCGGUGCGGUUAAAUCGGAAAUAGUUGCGUUGUGCCUCGCCAACGUAAUGAGAUUUUAGAGGAUAAGGCUGCGGUUGGUGGCUUGGGUCUUGCCACAGCUCGAAAAUGAAGUCCAAGAUAAGCAUGUAGAAAACGUAUGGUUUCCCUGUUUGGACGAGGGUUCGAAUCCCUCCAGCUCCACUC